UGCAGCCAUGUCAAAUCUAGGCCUAUGGCAGGACUUGGCCCAGAAAACGACCACAGGAACACUGUGACUCACAGGCCUGUCCCCUGCUCAGGCUCAGGCAUGACUAUGGUCACAGAGGGCA